rnacentral:lncRNA from 1 species
UGACUUGUAAACUGGAGUUGGUGGUGAUGGUGAUUUGUAGACUGAGUGUGUAGAGAGUAGUAUGACUCCUUAGGUGGUGGUGGUGAAUUGUAAAUGGGAGUUGGUGGUGGCAGAGACUUAUAAACUGGUGCGGGAUUGAUAUAGCUCCUUGGGUGUGGAGGCGAUAUGUAGACUAGGGUUGGUGGAGGUGGUGACUUGUUGACUGGGUGUGUGGAGGGUAGUAAGGCUCCUUAGUAGUGGUGGCGACUUGUAAACUGUAGUCGGUAGAGGCGGUGACUUGUAGAUUGGGGUAUGAGGAGGGUAGUAUGGCUCCUUAAGUGGUUGUGGUGACUUGUAAACUGGAGUCGGCGAAGGUGGCGACUUAUAGACUGGGUGUUUGGAGGGUAGUAAGGCUCUUUGGGUGGGGGUGGCAACGUAUAAACUUGAGUUAGUGGAAGUGGUGAUUUGUAGACUGGGUGUGUGGGGGAUAGUAUGGCUCCUUAGGUAGUAGUGGUGAUUGGUAAAUAGGAGCCGGUGGAAAUGGCGACUUAUAGACUGGGUGUGUGGAGGGUAGUAAGGCUCUUUUGGUGGGGGUGACGACUUGUAAACUGGAGUUGAUGGAGGUGGCAAUUUGUAGACUGGGGUGUGUGGAGGAUAGUAUGGCUCCUUGGGUGGUGAUGGUGGUGACUAGUAAAGCGGAGUUGAAGGUGAUGGUGAUUUAUAAAGUGGUGCAGGAUGAUAAGGUGUUGGUGAAGGAUGGUAUGGCUCUUUUGGUGAUGGUGGAGAUAAAUAUUGAUAAUUUGCUGAGCUUUGGGAAGCCAAGCAAAGUGACACAAAAACCACUAAAAGAGUGGAAAAUAGAGAGGCCAUUUCUCCCAAAAAGAAACAAAGGAGAGAAGUUGUUGUCCCUUUAAGCUGCACUCAAAGCCCUUUGUAUAGCUUUCAUUUAGAAGGUAUAAGGCUAAAGUUAUGUAUUUUUAAUUAGUUUUGUCAUGUUGUCGGUUCAAUUUGACCUUUGUUGGUAUACUUUUUUUUUUUUGUUGGAUAGAAGGUGCAAGCUAAGCAAAGAAAUUAACUACUAUGGCAGCUAUACUAUUUAUGAUGCAAUAAUUCAAAAAAAAAUACGUGGAUCCCACAACUUCCCACAAGAUUUUAGUUAUAGGAAUCUGAGCACUUUUUUUUUACACUUAGGGUGUGUAUGGUACGAUGGAAAAUAUUUUCUGAAAAAUGUUGGUUGUAGUAAAAAAUAUUUUCUAAGAUAAUUCAUUUUUUCCUAUUUGAGGGAAAAUGACUUCCCUCAUGGACCAAGGGAAGUUAUUUUUCGGAAAAUGAUAAAUGUGACUUAUGCCCCCAUCCUCACCCCUCUUCCCACCCCAACAACACUCAUAUUCACAUAACUCAAAAAAUUCACAUUUUUAAAAAAUUUAUUUUACUCAAAAUAUUUUUCACUGUGCUUUGCUUCAAUUUUUCACUGCUUGAAAUAAAAAAUAGUGAAGCCCGACUUUUUUUCAUUUCCAAUGUUCGUUGAAUGUAUUGUUAUUUUCAUAUGCAUAGAGGAAGACUUACCUAUGUUACUUUUGCUAAUUGCAUAUUUUAUUUUGUCAUCGAUGUUACUUCUUUCACGAGGUUGAAUAAGCUUAUCGUCCCGUUAUAUUUCUAUUGAUUGUAGUAUCUUGAGAUUGUCCUGAAAAAAUGUUGAAAAGUGUCUCCUAUAUUUGCUAAUUAAUAGUUGCUUAAAUUUAGUGAUUGUAAUAUUUUAGUAUUCGAUAUUGAUAUUAUUUAUUAUGCUUAAAUUAGUUCUUACAAAUUGUUGAGUUGCUAGAUGCACUGAUAUACUAGUUAACAGUUAGUAGUAUUUUCUAAAAAAAAAAAUUUCACUCACCAAUCAAACACUAGAAAAUAUUUUUCUAAAAAAUAUUUUCUACUCACCAACCAAACACCAUAAAAUAUUUUUCGAAAAUAUUUUUCACUCACCAACCAAACAUGAGAAAAUAAAUAGAAAACCAACUUAUUUUCCAAGAAAACAUUUUUCAUGAAAAAUAUUUUCCAUCGUACCAAACACACCCUUAGUAUUUGAAGAAUUCAAUUCUUGUGGAUUCUGACAGCUUAACUAACCUUCACUUAAGUGCUGAGAAAUUUAAAACAAUAUGUAUACAGUAUCAUAUAUUCUUUAAAAGAAAUGAUAUGUCAUUGUUAAAAGAGUUUAAUCUAGAGAAAACUGUGCAUGUGACUCGCUUUCAUUACCAACUAAAUCAAUUAUGUUCUUUCCUUUUGUGUAGUAGAGCUAAAAGAAACAUCAACCGAUUAUUUUGUAGCUCAAUGUUGAAAACUUAUGUGGUUCAAUAUGAUAUCUCUGAAAAUUUUACAGCUUGUUUGAUAGCUGCUGCCUAAUAAUGUAUUGUAUCGUGUUGCUAGUUUAAAUAUAAUGUGUAUUUUGAUUGUUUCUUAAAUUUUACUGUAUCAUUAAAUCUAUAACUAGAUAGCAAUAAAAAGUCUCAUUUGGUGUAACGACCUAUUUGAUGUGAUCGCGUUGUUACCUUUUUUCCCCUUUUUAUUUAUUAUUUAAUUAUCUUAAUGCUCCUUUAUCCUAUAUUUUUAUAGUAACUCUACCUCACAUUUUUCUAUUUUCCUUCUAGGCUUAUCCUUGAACUGUUAUAUGAAGGAUGCAAUGUAAUGACGAAAAAGGUAUAAUAAAUCCAAAUAUCGUAACAUUCACUAAAAUAAUAAAGUACAUACAAUACAACAUGAUACUUUAUGAAACAAUAUCAUUCCAAGUUAAGGACUUGAUUAGAAUGUGCAUGUUAAGUGUCUGAUGGGUUACUUAAGUAUAAAGUUCAAGUCCAUAUAAAAAGAUAAACCCUAAUUAUAAUGCCUUCAUCAUGGCUGGUCGACAGUAGUCUACUACUGAAUUUCCUCCUUUGAACCCAAAUUCUAUUGUGAAUAUCCAAACCCUACCGUUGGAUAAAUCUUUUGUUGAAUCAAUCAGUACAACAAAGUUGGACACCGUCUCUCGCAAAGAGGUGGUCAUGGUGGAAGGAAUCCCGAAUGUCACACUGAAAAAAGUGGAUACAGUGAAUAAAAUGGAGAAUUUGCAAUUUGUUGUCAUAGGUAAAUUCACUUAAGAAUGGACGGGUAUAGAAGAAUUAAGGAAUAUUAUCCCACAGCAAUGCAACAUUAAUGGUGAUUGUCAAAUUGGAGUAUUCAGAAAUAAACAUAUUUUCAUUCGUUAGACACAGGAGUCGGAUUUUAUUAAUAUCAUCAUCUCAAAGGGAGCUUUUUCCUUGCACUGUAAGGAUGGGUUCUCUUAUUUGAUGCGAACACUCUCACACUUAUCUAUGAUCCCCUUUUCAAAGAAACUUUAGAGACUACAAAGACUUUCGCAUGGAUUUCUUUCCCAAAUCUAUUGCCUACCUAUUAUGUCAAGGAAUGUUUGUUUUCUUUAGCUGCAACAGUGGGAAAGCCUGUCCAACUUGAUCUAGCCACCAUUAAUAGGACUAGACCAAGUUGUGCAAGGAUUAAGGUCUUGGUUGAUCUAAAAGCUGAUUUCUCUAAAUCAGUCCGGAUGGAUAUUGAAAAUGAAGAGUCAGGUAAAUGCAGGACAAUAGUGAAGCGGAUUAAAUUCGACCAUAUUCCUAAGUAUUGUCAUGAAUGCAAUAUGCAAGUUCAUGCUAAGAAUCAAUGUAGAAACUUAGGCACCCCAGAGGAUGCAACAAUGGCAGUAACAGUGGAUAAUAAGGAAUAAAAGAGGCCAGUACAACAUCUUCCUAAAUUCACAAUGCCUUUUGUACACAAAUUUCAAAACGGAAAAGCAUGAGUUCUUUCGAGUGGGAUUGUAGUUGGAGAUCCUACUAACUGGAUGGUUAUUAAAAAUGAUAAGAGGAUAGUUAAUACUUCCCAACAGCCUCUUUUAAUGAUAUAGUUAAUACUUCCCAACAGCCUCUUUCAAUGACAAAUAACCAAUUUGCUGCUCUAGCUACCGACGACAAAGAACCUGCUGAAUUAAACAUUUCGACAAAGGAGAGUUCAAACCUUAAGGCAUGUACGGAUGUGUUCCAAAUAAUAAGGAAAAUGAAAAAGUUAAUCUGUGGUCCAAUAAAGAAUCUGCUAAAGAGUGGGUAUCAAGGGAUUUUGGCAAGCUAGGUGAAGUUCCCAAUUCUGUAAUACCUGUACAGCAACAAGGCAGUCAGCAACUAAGUAAUCAACAACAAAGGCAAGAUAGAGAUAAUAAUGCUAAAGAGAAUAAUAAAGAUGGUAAUGGGAUGGAGAAUGAUAUGCAGGUUAAAUCUUUAAUAAAUCAGGAGCAUAAUAUUGAUGAUGGUCAGCAACAAUGCCUCAUAGUCAAAAAGGACAAUCUGCAAUCUAUAGAAGAUGUGCAACCAGAUACCAAGCAAUAGUCAAUGCAGAUUAAUCAAGAUUUUUACAGUGGAAGCUAUGAUAAUGGAGAUAGGUCAGUUGAGGAAAGUGUGGGGAUAACAGUUGUGAUGCAAGGGGAACAAAAUGUGUGUUUAGAAAUAAUGGAGAUUCCAAAACCAGUGCAGAUAGAUGAAUCAUUUAUCGUUACCAAGAGUUCUCCCAACAAAGUAAUACAUGACAUUGUCUCUCAUAGUUUAGGGUACAUUAAAUGCAGUAAUCAAACUCACAUGGCCAAAGGAGUUAAAGAAGUAGAUGUAGAAGAUGAUUCGAAGGAUCAUGCUCCAUCGGAAGCUGAUUUAUCACCAAGACUGAUGAAAAUCUCUAAAAAAGGAUAAAAAAGAAUGUGGAUGGGAGAAAACUCACAACCUACCAGAGUUCAUCCUAAGCGAUCCAAAUCUGCCCUAAAUUAUCAAUGAAAGCACUUAUUUGGAACAUUAGGUCUGUGAAGACACAACAAGAUUUCAAAGACUUCAGAUGCUUAAUAAUUAUCAUAAGUUCACCGGUUUCAGUUUGUUAGAGCCUUUUCAGAAUGUUAGAUAUAAGAGAAGAUUGAAAAUGCAUAGGGCUAUGUCAAACUGCAAUAGCAAGAUUUGGUUUUUCUCCUCUCAAGAUGUGAUAACAACUGUUAUUAAAGACACUGAUCAUCAGCUACAGUUCACUUGCAGGAGUAGGCUCAGAGCUUAGAUUUAUUACUCUUGUUUAUGCAAAGUGUUCUAAAGAGGAGAGAUUAAUCUUAUGGAAGGAUAUUUAUCAAGUUGCUUCUGGAAUUUCAAAACCUUGGAUGCUAGGAGGAGAUUUAAUGUUGUUUUGAAUUCUGAAGAGAAAAUUGGUGGCCUUCCAAUUCUUGAUGCAGGCCAUGGGGACUUUCAAUCAUGUAUUUCUUAUUGUGAUUUGAUGGAGAUACCUUUUAAAGAAAGUUCUUUCACUUGGUGGAAUGGUAGAGCAGGUAAUGACUGUAUUUUAGAAAGAUUGGAUAGAAUUUUUACUAAUCAACAACAACAACAACAACAACAACAACAACAACAAACCCAGUGUAUUCCCACCUAGUGGGGUCUGGGGGGGUAAGAUGUACGCAGUCCAUACCUCUACCUCUGCUGAAUUUUUACUAAUCAAGAUUUACAAAAUAAGUUCAAUCACAUGAAGGUAGAACAUCUUGCUACUAGUUCAGAUCAUGCUCCCAUGUUGUUGUAUUGUUAUGACAGAGCUAUCAGUUACAAGAAAUCUUUUAGAUUUCUUAAGUUUUGGACUGAUCAUCCUAAGUUCCUAGAAGUAGUAAGGCAGAAUUGGUGUUCUUCAGGUUCUCAGAGUCCAUUCUUAGAUUUCAAAGCAAAGAUUAAGAGAAUUAAAGUUGCUUUGACAAGAUGGAGUAAAGAGACUUCUGGGGAUAUUUUUAAAUAGUUGAUAAUCAGGGAAGAAAUUGUCAAGAUCAAAGAGAAAUUAUUUGAGGAAUGCCCUACGGCUGAUAACAGCGAAGUGUUGCAAAGAGCUCAGUCCGAGCACAAAAUAUAUCUUCGUUUUGAAGAGAUUUUUUGGCAGCAAAAAGCAGGUUAUGACUGGUUUGAGAAUGGUGACAGAAAUAUUAAAUUUUUUCAUAGCACUGUGAAGGGGAGGAGGAAAAGAUUGAAUUUGAAUAGAAUUCAAAUUAAUCAGGGUAUUUGGCUGGAUAAAGAAGAAAAGAUAGCCGCAGAGGUUGUUAUGUUUUAUCAGGACCAAUUUAGACAAGAACAAGAGGCUAAUGUUUUUUCAUAACUGAAUAAUAUACCUAAGAGUAUUUCUGAUGAGCAAAAUAUUGUUUUAAGUCAGUAAGCUGAUCUUGAAGAAGUUAAAAAGGCACUUUUUAGCUUAAAUGAAUAUAGUGCAAGUGGCCCGGAUGGGUUAACAAGUAGGUUCUAUCAGGUUCGCUGGGAUAUUAUUGGUAAUGAUGUUCUUAAUCUGGUGCAAGAUUUCUUAAAAGGUAAUACUCUUCCCAAAUUCAUUAUUCAUACUAAUUUGGUGUUGCUUCCCAAGAAGGAUUUUAUUCAAUUUUUCUCAGAUUUGAGACCAAUUAGUCUUAAGUAAUUUUAUUAAUAAGAUCAUUUCUAGGAUUGUGCAUGACAAAAGUGAACUUCUUUUGCCUAGACUGAUUUCUUUUAAUCAAUCUAAAUUUGUCAAAGAGAGAAGAAUUAUUAAAAAUUUCCUCCUGACUCAAGAGAUAGUUACUGACAUCAGAAAAAUGGGUAAGCCGGCUAAUGUGGUCUUAAAGCUUGAUAUGACUAAGGCUUAUGAUAGGGUUUCCUGGUUUUUCCUGAUGAAGGUUCUAAGAAAAAUAGGGUUCUCAAAAUUGUUUAUGGACUUGUUUUGGAGAUUAUUGUCUAAUAAUUGGUAUUCUAUACUAAUUAAUGGGCGAUCACACGGCUUUUUUCACUCAACUAGGGGAGUAAAACAAAGAAAUCCUUUAUCUCCAGCUUUCUAUUUGAUGAUGCUCAAUAUGUAGGUUAUGAUAUGCCAAAGUGGAGUUCCAAUAUUAAUCAUCUUGCUUAUGCAGAUGACACUAUUAUAUUCGCUGCAGCUAACAGAUACUCUUUGAGAAAGAUUUUUUCAGUGUUACGGGAAUAUGAAACUCAAUCAGGGCAAAAAGUUAAUAAAGAGAAGAAUGCUUUCUACAUGCAUCAGAAUUCAGCUGCAGUUGAUAAACAAAUGGUGGAAGAUUGUGCGGCUAUUUCUAAAGGCCAAUUUCCUUUGAAAUACCUUGAAUGUCCUAUCACUCAUGCUAGAAAAAGAAAGAGUCAUUAUUCAGAGCUAAUUCAGAAGGUUAAGUCAAAAUUACAGGCUUGAAAAGGUAAUAUUCUCUCAUAUGGGGGGAAAGGAGGUCCUUAUCUCUAGUGUUCUUCAAAGUGUUCCUAUACAUAUCCUUUCUGUUGUUGUCCCUCCUAUUUGUGUAUUGAAGGAGCUUCACAGAAUAUUUGCAAAUUUUUUUGGAGUAAUAAGGCCGAUGGAAGAAACAAACACUGGGCUGCUUGGGUAAAGGUGUUUUUACCAAAACAGAAGGCAGUUUGAGUUUUAGAUCGAUGUUUGAGGUAUCUCAAGCCAUGUAUCCUAAGUUCUGGUGGAAGUUCAGAACUCAAAAUACUACUUGGUCCAACUUUAUAUGAGACAAGUAUUGCAAAAAGCAAAUACCUUCACUAGUUUAAUGGAAAGGUGGCUCGCAAGUAAGGAAGCAUAUGUUGCAAAAUAGGGAUCUAGUGGAGCAAUUCUUGUGGUGGAACCUAAAGGAGGUACUUCUACAGUUUGGUAUGAUAAUUGGACUCAACUUGGUCCUCUUUUCAAACACCAGGUAGAGGUCAUUCUUCUUUUCCAGUGAUGGAUAUUGAGGAAUUCAUGUUGGGCUCAGACUGGGAUUUUGAGAAUAUGCAAUAUCAUUUAUCAGAUAAUGUAGUAGAGCAUGUAAGAUUACAUUUGAGGCUUGUACGACAUCCUGGAGAAGGUGACAAGCCCUGGUGGAUUAAAUUUAGUUCUGGCAAGUUCUCGGUUAAAAGUGCUUGGGAAGAACGGAGGAAAAAAACGUUUGUAAUGAGUCAUUUCAGAAGAUCUGGGUAAAAGAGAUUCCUUUCAAAAUUUCUUACUUUGGUUGGAGAGUUUGGACAAAUAGGAUUCCUGUAGCCUCUGUUUUAGCUAAUUGGAAUCCUAACUUGUCUCCUCUUUAUUCAUAUUGUGUUUCAAGAAAUCAUGGAGCACCUCUUUCUAAAAGGUGAAGUGGUUUAUUUCGGUUUGGAUUUAUUACGCCAAUGCUGCAGGUAUUCUGGGGCCCUGGGUUCAAAUUAAACUAUCCAUAAAGAAGUGGUGGGAUAUAAAUGGUAAUUAAAGACAAAGAUUCAUCUUUCAGGUAGUUCCUACUCUCAUUUUGUGGUUUUUACGGAAAAGAAGGAAUGCAUUAGUUCAUGGAGGUUCAUACUCUACAGCCAAGGUUAUUUGGGAUAUUAAUGGUUUAAUUAAGAAAAUUCUCAGAAAGAAGUUUGGUUAUGAUCAGUUACCAUCUAGUUGGCCUCAAAUAGUUGCUUUUUGACUUAUUUAGACCUACAUUUUUAUCUAGAUGGAUAAGAUGGUAUCCCCCACCUAGGGGAUAGUGGAAAUAUAACACUGAUGGAACCUCGAGAGGUAAUCUAGGUCGAAUUUCAGCUGAUUUUUGUGUACGAAAUCAUGUAGGUGAUCUUGUGUAUGCUAAGGGUUUCUCUAUUCCAGAUUCCACUAAUCUGGUUGUUAAAGUCAUUGCUAUAGGAGUUGGUUUACAUUAUUGCUUAGAAAAUCAAAUUGUCAACAUUAUUGUGGAAUCUGAUUCCCUUGUAGUAGUCAACAUGAUUAAUGGAGUGUGGGAAAUUCCUUAGAGUGUGAUAAUGGAGGUCAACUCCAUUAAAGAUAUGAUGGAUUCUUGUUCAGCAAGAGUACAACACUCCUUAGGAAAGGGAAAUACUCUUGCUGAUUAUUUAGCUAACUUGGUUUUUCAUUUUGCAGGUAACUUUGAAUUCAACAGUUUUCAUGAAAUUCCAAGCGCAGGUAGGAAGAUUAUCAAUCUAGACAAACAAGGCAUUCCACAAAUGAGGAUAAGACAGUGUACAUCAACUAAUUCAACAAGGGAUGGAUCGCUACUGCAGAUUACAAAGUGAAUUUACAAACUCUAUUAGCAGUGACUAGUUACUGGUGAAUUUAGUGCAGUCUGAAUUAGUUUCGUUUGGUUAACAUACCAUGCACCUGUGGGAAUUUUUAGGUGUUACAUAGAGUAUAAACCCAGGACUCACUUAUACUAGUUGCUAAUUUCUAGGUAUAGAGUUUAUAAAAAUCAAGCACAAAUUUAGAGGCAUUUCAUAGUCUCAAAUCUGUUGAUGAGGAGAGGAUGGAGUACCCGGGACCUCAAAUUUAGCGGCGGAAGAUAGACAGGGUAUAAUUAUCAAGCAAUACAAUUCUUUUAUACAGAUUCCACUUCAGAGAAGAACAAAAAUAAUCAUUGCCAACUUAUGGAUUGCAAAGUGUCAAAAUACAAAUUUCAGCAUUUGGAGUAACACAAGAAGGCAAGGAGCAAGAUAAGUAUUAAUGGACAGUAGUGGUGAUUAACAUUCACUAAUACUGAUUGAUUUCUAAGUCAUACAAUUGAAAUGGGGGUUAAGGUGAACCUGUUAGUUCUGGAUCCUUGGUGGUGGUAUCAAUCUCCUUGAGGUUUAUUCCGCUAGGAAAAAGAGAGAACAGUGAAAUCAUUUUUUUCAUUUCACAGAUGAGUUUAGAAUAGAAAAAGGGAGGUGACUUACCAUAUCAUCUGCAAUAAAUAUUUAUUGAUUUGGAGCUGUAGAAAUUUAGUUGAAACCAAUUUCAUGAAGUUUGUAAGAGAUUAAAGUGUCUUAGUGAAAUUUGAUGGAUGUUCCAUGGCAAUAAUGGCUUCCACAACUUAAUGCAACAACCAGAUGAGGUUGGAGUAGCAAAGAUUGAAACCAUAGUUGCCUCUCCGUGAUGUCUUUCAGCUUUGAGUUUUAUCCACACAUUCCUUUUCCUGCUUACAUUUUCUGUUUUUGGUCUUUUCAGAUGUCUGGAUAUAUUUGUUGCUUUUGUUUUGGACCCGGGUCUUGCUUAACUUGGGCCAAUUUGUACAUAUCUUUUCUGCUCCUGAAUAAAUUGGGCUCUGGUCCAUCUUCAAUUAAAAAAAAGGAAAAAUGACAUGGACUGACCAGUUUAAAAAAAGGAAAUUUUGCAUAUAUACCGACAUGUUUACUCUUAAUUACCAAAAAUUUCAACAUUUUUCAAAAUCUCCAAAAAUUCCAACAUUUGACCUCUGAUAAUACAAGUUAAUCACAUUAGAUACAUACUGUUGAUAUAUGUAUCUAAUGUGAUUAACUUGUAUCAUACAUUAGAUAUAUGUAGGGUUACAUUAGAUACAUGUAGGGUUACAUUAAAUACAUGUAGGGUUAACUUGUAUCUCAAAAAUAGUCCCAAAUAUGAAAUGUUGGAAUUUAUGUAAUUUUUCAGAAGUAGGGGGAUUUUUAGAAAUUUUGAAAGUUAUGAUGUUUAUUUAUGUAAUUUUUUGUUAAAAAGAAAAAAAAUAGCCCACACUAUGAAAAUAUGGACAAUUGGAGCCAGUAGACCCAAUUUAUUUCCUGUUUUUUCAGUCAUUUGGCCCAAAACUAUUCUCCUUACACAAUUAAGGGGAUUAAAUACUCUUCACAGUAGGCUACUCUUAAAUCACUUUUCUUUUCAAACUAUACUUUCCCAAAAAAAUGUUCACCUCUAUUAUGUGUCGAUCAAUCUACUGUGUUUUGUGAUAACAAUUGAGUUAGUAGGGCACAUGCAGUCUCUAUACCCAAUUGAUACACUUUUGUACCAUAUUGAUACAUGUUUAUACCCAAUUGAUACUCUUUAUACUACAUUGAUACACUUUUAUACUCAAUUGAUACUCUUUUAUACUAGAUUGAUACACUUUUAUACCACGUCGAUACAGUAUGUAUAUUACAUAAAUACAUCUUUUACAGAGGAAAUUUGUGCAAGCAUAUACAGUAACAAUACCAAAUUAAUACAGUAAAUCAAAAUUAGUAAGUACGAACAUAAUUGAUACUCUUUAAAAUUAUAGUAUUAAUAGUACAUAAAGUAACAAAAAAAAAGAUCAAAUCAUCUUUCCAUCAAUUAUUGUUUUGAUUUAGUUCAUUCUUUCUCCUUAACGCUCUUUUAUAUUUCUAACUUCCUCUUCCUACCUUUAUUUUCUCUUCUUUUUUUCUUUCCUUCAUUACUAAGUUAGUUGUAAACACCCAUAUGAUGAAGUAUGUAUUUACUCUUGAGUUGAUGUCAUAUUUAUCCUACUAAGAAAAAUCACAGGUUCUGUAAGGAAUUGUCUAGACAUGGAGUACAUAUAAAAAUUUAUUCUGCCACUUGAAAAAAACCUGUAAAAAACUAAUUAAAUUCAGAUUUUUUGAGAUUUUAUACAAAAUUUAUGAAAUGAGAAAGGUAAAUUGGAGUAUCGAAAAAAGGUAAAGGAACAAAUAUUUAGGAGUUUGAAUGGAAAGGAAACUGGGAAUGAAAAGAAAAGAAAGAAAGGGAAAGUUACUUCAAGGAUGUUUUUGAUUUUGUUUAAGCGUAUGACAGUGAAGGUUAGUUAGUGGAAUUACUCUGUGUCUAUUUAUGAUGUAUUUAAUUUUGACUGCUAUUUUUUUAUAUUAUUUUAGUUUUAGGUGUUAUUUCUGUCAUUUGCCCAAAAAAAAAAACUUACUAUUUUACUACAAUUCUUGUUGGUAAGAAUACAUUAUUUCUUUUUUUUUUUUAGGGCAAACAACAUAAAUUUCGAGAAUUUGGAGCUUAAUUACAGAAAAUUCUGAUAUUUUGCAUAAUUGUUGAAAAUCUCAAUUUUGGAUCUGUUGAGAUACAUUAUUAGCUUCUGAUACAAUCAAAAAGAUACAUUUUUAACUUUGUAUAGAUAUAUAAUUAGCUUCCGCUACAUAUUUUUUAAAUUUUGCGUUUGUUGAGAUAUAUAAUACAUCCAAUGAAGAUAUAUUUUUUUCUUUGUAAAGAUAUAUAAUUAGCUCCCAGUGCAGUUUUUUUAUUUUUGGGUCUGUCGAGAUACAUAAUAAGCUUUCGAUACAUCCAACGAAGAUAUAUAAUUAAUUGAGCUUUUUGUAGUUAUUUUGUAAGAGUGAAAAUUUUGUAUAAAUAUAAUAAGUUAAGAUGUAUAUUUAUACUAUUUUUCCAUAAUUUGCUUGCGAACCAAAUCGACCACUAAAGAAUUGAAAAGUUAAACAAUUUGUUCCCAAUACAGAACAAACUUUAGCCUAAAAUUUAAUGCUAAAAAUUACUACAAUGAGCUGAGUGGCUGAAAUGGUGCCACUUAAGAAUAAUUUGGUGGAUGAAAUGAAUGAAUUGUUUUGGAGUACAAAUUUUGAUUUAGACAAUCUAUUGAAAUUUAUUAUAGUACUGUUUAUAUUUAGGGGCCAUUUUUCAGGAUCUAUGAAAAAUUUAUAAUGUUGAGUAGAACAUACUAUAAAAGUAAUGUUGGAUAGAGCAUAUCACACAUUAGCACAAUCCUAAUCAAUAAUGAUAGCUAUUCAUCUCUAGUUCACUUUUAUAGUUAAUCAAAGAAUUAUUAACAACGAAAAUUAAUUUUCUUGUUUUGGUUUUCUAUCAUUGAAUCAGCAAUAGUUUGAUAUAAGAACUAUUCAGAACAGACUAAAUUAAAGAGAAAGAUGGAAUACCGUCAAUGAAAAUAAUAGGAUAUGAUAUCUUCAAAGAUAAAGAAGGCAGUGAACUUUUUACACAUAUAAUACGUAUAAUUAUUAAAGAAUAUAAAAGAAAUUAAAAAAAGGACAUACAGUACAUAUAUAAACUGGAAAAGAAGAUCAAUAAUGUAAAAGUUUGAUGUUAACACUGUUCCUUAAUUAAAAUUUCCAUAAUGAUUAUACUCGCUAUUUUCUUUCAUUUGCACAAAUCAAUAUGCUCCUUUCCCCCCUUUUUUUCUCCUGAUCACUCCUUAAAGAACGAGACAUAUAGCAUACAUAGAGAAGAGAGUACUUUGUCUCCCUCAAUAAAUACCUUGAGAAAAAAAUGUAACUCAUUAGUAGUUUCUUGAUUUUGUAAAAUUUUCUUUAUUUAAAAAAGAGUAACAUUGGAAGAAGGUCAUUAGUAUCUUUUUUAUUAUCUAAAACAACAUUUAUUAUCUUUUUUAUUAUCUAAAACAACAUUUAUUAGGAGCAAAAUAAAAAAGCUAAACAACCACUUAUUAGAAACAGAGGGAGUACUAAUUAUCUGAUAGUGUUUUCAGUGUUACGCAUCAUGAACUAAAAGCUUAAUUUAAGAAGCAUUGACUGCUUAAUGAAAUCUUUUAAUUCACAAUGAUAAUAAGGAAAUCCAAUUUGUGUUGUAUCAUUCUAGCCUUUCCAUUUUUUAUGGAGACAAAGCAUUAAUAGACAAAUGGAGAUUGGACAUAUCAAGAUUUCAGUCUCAUCCUGUCAAAUCAUUAAUUGUAAAACCUUCAUGUAUUUCUAUGUUCAGCCUAAGAUAUUAAGGGGUUAAUAUUCUUUCAAAACAUGGAGAGUUUCUGAUAUUGGGAGACAUGGUUGUUUGUCGAAUAUAUUUAUUUCUCAAUAAUUGAAAUAUAUAAUUGUAUUUGAUGUGAAGAAAGUAUUAGUUAAAAUGCAGUUUGGUUCAUUUUGGCUAGGGAUUCCAUCCUUUCCAUGUAUAAAAGUUUUUGAAUGUAAGGAUGAGAAAUCAAGGUAUCUGCUACACUUUUUUUAUAUAUACGUGUAGCGCAUGUAUCGAGAAAUUAGUAAAAGAAAAAAAAAAUUCCUCAGCUAAUUCUCAAUCAACACCAACUCCAUCUUAGGAAAGUGUGGUUGGUUCUGUUCUUCCUCGAAUUCAAUGAAUUUUUGUCAUAUUGUCAUACAUAUAACGAAUAAUAUAUAUAUNNNNNNNNNNNNNNNNNNNNNNNNNNNNNNNNNNNNNNNNNNNNNNNNNNNNNNNNNNNNNNNNNNNNNNNNNNNNNNNNNNNNNNNNNNNNNNNNNNNNNNNNNNNNNNNNNNNNNNNNNNNNNNNNNNNNNNNNNNNNNNNNNNNNNNNNNNNNNNNNNNNNNNNNNNNNNNNNNNUAUGCCUCUUUUCCUCUUUAAAUUUUAAAGUAAUAAUUAAGAAGAAAAAAGAAGAAGAUACUAUUCAAUAAUUUAAUUCUGAUACCAUCAACAUGGAAGACUCCAUUUGCUUCAUCUAACAAUGGACUUUGGCAUUAUAUAAUUAACAAAACAAUUAAUUAUUAGGAUAACUUAAUCACCGACAAAGGUUUCUUACUAUUAUCCUUAUGAGAUUCCACUAGUUAAGCUAAAUAUUUUUAAUCGACGUAAGAGUUAUGAAUGUAUAAACAAGUAGAUCUUAGCUACAUUGACCUAGUCAAUCAUUAUUAUUACCGACAUAUUUAUGCUAUACAAAUAUUUGUCCUAAUGCUAUCUUUUAUUUAUUUUUUUAAUGGAAAAGGGUCAAAAAGAUUCCUGAAUUAUUCGAAGUGGAGCAAAAAUAUCCCUCAUUAGUUUUUUGUCUCAAAAGUAUCCCUCUCUAAUGAAAUAACACCAAGCAUGUCAUGUAGACAAAAUACGUCACUUGAACAGUUCACGUCAGAUCGACCAUCUUUAUUAAAGGUGAAUGCUCCAUUAAAUGAGAGAUUUUCCAUGUGGAUAUUGGCGCCUAGCGUGGACUGUUCAAGUGGCGCUUUUUGUCCACGGACAUACUUAGUAUCAUUCUGUUAGAGAGAUGAAUAGUUUUGAGCCAAAAAUUUAAUGGAGGAAUAGUUGUAAGCAAAAAAAUUAACGAAAGAUAUUUUUACUUUAUUUCAAAUAAUUUAGGAAUAUUUUUAAUCGUUUUUUGCUUUUUUAUGAUUUCUAAGUUGCUUAUAAUUUUUUUAUUACUACAUGAUUAACAAUAUUUUUUUAUUUCCAUAAAUAACAGAGAGUAAACUAAGUUGCACCUUAAUGGUCGAAAAGUAUUCACUAUUUUUUUUAGACUUAAAGAGGUGAUUCUGAUACAUGUCUUAUGAACAAUCAUUACAAAUUUUAUUAUUUUAAAUUUUGUUUUAGAUAAGUCUAUGAUUAAGUUGUUGGUGACCAAUUUAUUCAAUUGAGUGAGGCUGGCAUGUCCAAAGAUUUUAGGACGAAGAAACGGGUUAUUAUGUUAAUUAGGUAGAUUUAUUUUAGGGAGAAAUAAGACAUAUGCUUUAAUUUGUAAAUAUUAAUAAGUAUUUUUCCAUUUAAGCAUAGCUUCUUUUAAAUUUAAAUUAGUAAUCAAACAGUGUUUAGUAGUAUUUUCUACCUUGUUGGCUUUGUCACACAUUUGAGAGAUGCUAAAAAUGUGUAUUAAAAAAAAAAUAAGAUGGAAAGAGAAGCAUACUGGCUCAAAGGUAAAGCCGCUAAAACGUGCUUUAAGGUUCAAAAAUAGUAUUUUUAUUAUAUAAUUAGUCUCUCCUAUGUUUUACAGUUUAUAGUCUAUAUGCAAUAAAUCAAAUUCUAUUAUAUAAUUUUUUAUAUAAAAAUAAAAGUUUCUUUAAAGUUAUUAAAGGAUGUCCAUUUGUUGUAAUAAAAUACAUUGAUUUUGGUUCUCAGAAUCCUAUUGGUACAUAAUAAACUUUGGCUAUUUUAAUUCAAAGUUUUAAAAUAUCAAAUACAAUUCUAUAAUCUUUAACUAAAAAUUUAAAAAUAAGAUUAUUAAACUUCCGAUGAUAUGAUUGUAUAAGAAAAUAAUAAACAUUUUAAAAUGUUAUUGUAACUUUAUAUAAUACAUGUAACAGUAUUUUUCUAGUGAUUAUAAGAAGAAUUUUAUUGAAAAAUCAAACGUAAUUGUAACUUGCGGUAUUGAAAGUAAAAUUUGAUGGCGAGGAAAAUAUGAGUCCAUUCUUAUGUCAUUAAAAUUUAUAAACCUUUUUAUUAAGAUGACUUGAAAAUGGUAUUUAACUAUAUAUAAUUUAUAAUUUUUUAAUUAUCAUAAAUAAAAUAUUUCAUUUUCGUGAUAUUUUAGUUUGGAUUGCUUUCUAUCUAUCAUUAAUGACAAAAUACAUCGUCAGACCCCUUAAAUUGACACCAUUUUUCACUUUGGCAUCUUAAGUGGACAUUGUUCACCUUUGGCAGUUCAAAUAACCAUAAAGUGUAUCAUUUUGACAUCUUUCGACAUCAAUAAAAGUGUGUGUUACACUCACUGUCAACGUGGAUAAAACGGCCAACUGAUUUAUGCCAAUUCAUUUAAAUUGCCACAUCAUUAUUUAUAUUCACAAUUAGUUUUAAAAAAAAUAAAAUCAAAACAUAUGGCAAUUAAUGACAUAAUUAUCUAACUCAUUAAUAUAUAUACAAAAUUAAAUUAAAAGAAUCAAUUAAUUACUGACACGUGACAUUUUUCAAAAUAAUUAUAAAAUUAUUUAUUUUAUUUGGACAACCCUCCACCCACCUCCCACCCCCAAACUCCAAAGUCAUCUUCUCUACCACCAUCUAUCCCCCCGAUACCCCCCACCCUAAAUCAUCUUCUCUAUUUGGCAACACCCCUCUUCCCGUCAUGUUCUCCAUCUCCCUCCCCCCCCACCACCCCCAACCCCUGCCUGAGUCAUCUUAUCCUCUCCAUUUGCCCCUUUGAAAAGAUGAACACUCAAUCAAAGAUUAUAGUAUAUAUGUAUAUCAAAGACCUUGAUUAGUCAUAGCUUGACCUCAAAAAUUAGAAGGCAUUAAAUGACUGUUUUUUUUCUUAACAAAAAAUAAAAAAGAAAUGAUUGACCUUGAAAUAUAUUCAUCAGUAGUAUGUGUGAACCUAUUCUUUGGCAACGCAGUGGUCUUCUUACUACUUCAGUUGCAGUCAUAACAUGUUGACAAAGAUGGUGAUUGCUCAACAACAAAUCACUCGUUGUUGUUAGUGUGUUAGUGUGUUUCGUUAUUCUUGAAAAGUUCAACCUCCAUUAAUGGAAGUUAAGCUAAAGAAAGGUUGUGUGAAGAAGGCAAUGUGAGGAAAUUUUUUGUAAUUAUUUGGUCAAUAAAACAUGUGCCAUUAAUUUAUUGGAUCAAUUUUUACUGAUUUGGCAAUAGAGAUUUUCAAUAGUUUUAAAAAAAAUUUAAAGAUGAAAAAUUACAAAAAUAUCCCUAAAAAUUUAUGAAAAUACUCUUCAAACGCUCCAAAAAGUGAGCAACGUCCACUUGAAGUGCCAAAAUGAAAGAUAGCACCAAGUUGAGGACCGACAAUAUAUUCUUUCUUCAUUAAUUAGUGCAUGUACUACUCCUGUACUCCAUUGGUUUUGAUUUUUUCUUGUUCCUGCACAUUAUUUCUCCUUUUUUACUGUCUAUAUAGUACUAUUUUUUAACUUAGUAUGUUGAAAUUAAUUAUUUUUUAUUUGCAUAUGAAAAAGAAAUACUUAACUAGAUUGAUUCUUAUUCGUAUAUAAAAAGUUAAAAUAGUGAAAUUCAAGAAAAAUAUAUGAAUUUUAUAUUUGGCUUUAGAUGGCUAAUUAUAUUAAGCCGCCCUUGAAGGGACGGUGAAUUGUAAUAUUUUUUGUGGUUGACUAUGAGGCGAGCUAUAAUAUGAAAUCAAAUAAGUAACAUAGUAUAAUUAUGUGCUAAGUAAUGUGUCAUAUGAUAUUUUUCAAUUGAUUUGAAUUCAGUGUGAAUUAUAGUUAGUCCUUCCUUUUGGAUUUUUGUUAAACUGAAAUUUUCAUUUUUAUUACAUAGAGAGAGAAGUUAUAAAAAGGAUGAUUACAACGUGUUGUAACUUUUCAGGACGAAGAACAACAAGUCAUUGUUUUAUUAAAGAGGGAUUGUCCCUUGUCCAUAUCAGCUUUCAAGAAAAUAACAGAACAAAUGUUGAAUCUACUACUAUGAGAAAUUCAUCAUUUGUUUUGUUGGAGUUAGCCAAUGUCUGCUUUCUCCUUCCUAAUCCUAAAAUUAGCCAAACCAACUUUAUCCAACCUAUAAGUCCUUUAUAUUCAUCAUUAAGCUCUUGAAAUUGUUGUUGAGUACAAUGUUGAGGGUGUACUUAAUUUCUAAUCAUACAAUAGCGGUCUUUUUCACUCUUUGUAGUUGAUAUAUUGCCUCACCAAACACUAUUUUCCUCUCUUCGCUCUUUUUAAAUACACAAUAAAUGAAUUAGGAAGUUACAAUGCUUGUUAAGAAUAGCAUAGAGCUUUGGAGAAUGUUUGGACAGGAUGUACAGUUUCUUUUCCUAGAAGGCAUAUAUAGUCUUUGUGUGCUUGAUGUCUUGAAAAAGGAUAGAGAAAGACAAUCCAUACUACAUGAAAAAUAUUGAAUUGAGACAUAAUAUUUAUCAAUGGACAAGUCUGGCAUAGAGUUUAAACGGAUUUGUGAUAGAAUUAACUAAUUUAUAGUGUUGAUUUUAAUUUUUUCAAAAAUAAAUCAUAAAAUAGAUUGCCUAGCUUGACGUGUUAUGUGAUAUUAUGCAUAGAUUAAGUCCAUUGGAGGUUGUCUGAUUAGAGAAUCGGACAAUGCUUAGCAUGGGAAUUUCAUUGAAUAUGGAGCUAAGUGAGACUUUAAUCUCUCAUUUACUUGCUUUUUCAAAAGCAUUAUUUAAAACUGAGAAAUCGCUUCAAACUACUCCUCCACCCCAUUUUAGUUGGGCACAUUCUAUUUUAUACGGUGAUUAAGAAUCAUAAAUUGAAUGAUAAAUUUUACGAUCUUACCCUUUACUCAUAUUAAUGUUAUUCGUUGGGCAUAAGAAUGAACAUUGAAAUUGAAAUUGUUAACAUUUAAUAUAUACUAAAAAUUGUAGGGGAAAAAUAAAAAAAUAAUUAAUUUUAUCCUAAUUUAGUAAGUGGUCUUUUUUGGUGGGCUGAAACGCAUUAAAAAGAAAUAGCGGAGUAUUACAGUAGCACCUGGAUUAACCAGGAUCUACAAAAUUUGAGUUUGAGCUUAUGCCCUCUAAUGAAACAUUACAACACCUUGUUUGCCUAAUGAAACUAGUUCCUAGGAUGUCAGCCCAGGUAGCUUUGCAGCAUACAUUGGAGGAAUUACAAAAGAGUUUCUCUGUCCACAAACUUUCAGUCUUGCUCCUUCCUUAGCUAAUGCAUCCUUCACCAUAUUCUGCUCUUUAUAGCAGUGCUGGAUUUGUGGUCGUCCCAGACUCCUGAUUAGCAACCUGCAUCCAUUAAUUAUGGCAUUAUAGUGGAGGUUUCCCUCUUUGAGCAUAAUAAUAACCUUUUUCGAGUCUACAUUGAUGUCCACGGGAACUAAGGACAUUUCCUCCAUAAUUUUUAGUCCCUUUAGUUGAGCAAAGAGCUCCAUCUGGUUAUUAGUAAUCACAGGGAAAACUUUUUUGAAACCUGUAGUCCAAUUCCCUUCAUUGUCUCUAAUAACCCCUCCAAUACCACCCCUACCAGGAUUUCCCAAACAUGAGCCAUCAGUGUUAAGUUUAAAUCUUUCUUUAGAGGUUGGUUCCCACUUAACACUAAUGUUCAAUAAUCUAUUUGUCACGACCUGAAUCAAGGUCUGGCCGUGAUGGGCAUCCCUAGCCAACCAAGGUCGGAGAUGACCCCUAACCUUACCUCAAGAGCACAUCAGUAAAAACAAACAACAAAAUCCAACCAAGAUAAAAAGAGAAACAUAUGAUUCCAAAAGAAAGUUAAGAGUCAAAACCAACUCCAUAAUAAUAUCCCGACACUGCCUACAAAAGUCUCUAAUCCAAAAAUACCAACUAAGUCAAGACAUGUCCCCGACUAUAACAAAAGAAAUUCAAAAGUUCUGAAAUGAUAAAUGUAACUAAGAAAGAGGCCAAGUCUUUUGAUAGUUCAUAAGUUGGUUGAACUUGUGUUGAACUUAUUGUGGAUUAAAUACAAAUUUUGUACCCAGAAUAACAAUCUUAAGGAAUUUAUUAAUAAUUUUAAUUUUUGAGUUUCUAGAGAUUAAAACUUUUUGCUUUCUACGCUGUUUGAACUUUAUAGUGAUUUGAAGUUAUAAAAACUUCAUCACGGGUUAAUGUUCAUUCAGUUGAUGAUUAGAAGAACAUAAAAGCUUCAACAUUAAACUAGAAAUAAGUUGUUUAAAGUUUUUAAAACUUUAUUCUUAGUAUUUUGACUUACUAAAUUGGUUGUCUUUUUGUCACAGUAAAAAUGAUUAUUGAAAAUCAAGUUAAUGAUGGAAUGGUCAAUGUCACAACAACAAAUAUUGCUACUUAAAAUCGUUCAAAUGCUGCUCCGCCAAGGCACUGACAGAAAAAUCAGAAAGUUUUCUAGUGUGGAUUUUAAAAGAUGGCAGCAGAAGUUGUUCUUUUAUCUGACUACAUUAAAUCUACAAAGGUUCAUCACUGAAAGCAUUUCAGAGUUUUCGAAAGAAAUAUCCAAAAAUAUACUUUAUUACUACAAAAGCUUGAAAGCACUUGAAUUUUUUAUAUAAGAACUACAUACUGAGUGGCUACAACAUGGCAUGUACAAUGUGUACAGCAAUAUGAAGACCUCUAAGGAACUAUGGGUAGCUUUGGAAAAGAAGUACAACAUAGAGAAUGCAUGAAUGAAGAAAUUUAUUAUUGCAAGAUUUGUAGAUUUUAGGUGGUAGACAGUAAUACUGUAGUUACCCAAGUUCAAGAACCGCAAGUCAUCAUUCAUGAUCUCCUCACCAAAGGUAUAAAUUUGUUCUUGAUACUUACAUAGUCUCUGAUGUAGGCUUAAUUGUGAACGAGGCUUAUCAAGUAGCUGCUAUAAUCGAGAAGUUACCACAUUUGUGGAAAGACUUCAAAAACUACUUAAAGCACAAGCACAAGGAGAUGUCUUUCGAAGACCUUAUUGUGAGGUUAAGAAUCGAAGAGGACAAUAAAGCAUCAGAAAAGAGGUCUCGAUGGAAUUUACAAUAAGUAGAGAAAAUAUUGUGGAAGACGACCCCCAAUAAAUUAAAGAGAGAAAGGAAGCGUCAGGACAAUAAGGCAAUCCUCCUAAGAAGAAAUUCAAAGAAAAUUAUUUUAACUGUGACAAAGUUGGCCACAAGUCUUCAGAUUGUCAGGCUCCUAAGAAGGACAAGAAAAGAGGAUCAAGCUAACAUGGUUGAAUCCAAGAUGAUGUGGAGAUCUAUGUGCUAUGCUUUUGGAGUGCAUGUUGGUUGAAAAUCCUAGAGAGUAGUGGAUUAAUUCAGGUGCCACUAGCCACAAUGUGCCAACAAAAAAUUAUUUCCAUUAUAUUUUCUGGCUCAGGCUAAUGAGAACAUAUUCACGGUAACUCUGUUACGGUAAAGAUUGAAGGAAAAUGCAAGAUUUACUUGAAGAUGACAUUGGGCAAGGUGGUGACACUAAACAACGUCCUUUAUGUUUCAAAGUUGCGAAAGAACUUAGUUUCUACUUCACUUCUAACUAAAAAUAGAUUCAAAUAAGAAUUUGUUUCUGACAAAGCUGUAAUUAGUAAGCAAGAAGUGUAUGUAGGUAAAGGUUACUUCAUCGAGGAUUUUUUUAAGAUCAGUGUAAUAAAUGUUGAAAUCAAUAAAAAUUCUGUUUCUUCUUACUUACUUGAGUUAAAUGAAUUAUGGCAUGAACAUUUAGGACAUAUUAAUUACAAAACUUUGCAAAAACUGAUUAAUUUAAAAAUUUUGCCUAACUUUGAGUGUAAUAAAUCAAAUUGUCAAACAUGUGUGGAAUCUAAGUAUGCUAAGCAUCUAUAUAAGUCUGUUGAAAGGAAUUUCAAUCCCUUAGACUUAAUCCACACAAAUAUUUAUGCUAUGAAGUCAAUACCAUCUCAUGGUGAGAAAAAGUAUUUCAUAACUUUUAUUAAUGAUUGCGCUAGAUAUUGUUAUUUUUAUUUGCUAAAUGAUAAGAAUAAAGUAAUAGACGUAUUUUGGUAAUAUAAAACUAAAGUUGAAAACCAGUUGGAUAAAAAGAUCAAAAUAAUAAGAAGUAAUAGGAGUAGAGAGUAUGUAUCUUCUUUUGCAGGGGUAUGUUAGAAAAAAGGAAUUAUCCAUCAAACUAAUUUCCCGUAUUCACCUCAAUCAAAUGGGAUUGUGAAAAGAAAAAUUGAAUGUUAAAGAAAAUAAUAAUUGUCUUACUCAUAAGUUCAGAUAUACCGCAAAACUUGUGGGGGGAAGUUAUCCUUACAGCAAAUCGAAUACUCAAUAGAGUUCCCUAUAAGAAGACACACUCUAUCCUAUAUGAAAAUGAAAAGGAAGGAAACCCAACUUGAAAUAUUUCAAAGUGUGGGAUUGUCUAGCUAAAGUCCAAGUCUAUAUACCUAAAAGGAUAAAAAUAGGACCAAAGAUUGUGGAUUGUGUGUUCAUCGUAUAUGCUACAAGGAGUAAAGCAUUUCAAUAUUUGGUUCAUAAAUUCGAACCAUGAAAAUACGAUAAUCUGAAUCAGAUAAUAUUAAGUUCUUUGAAUACAUUUAUCCGUAUAAAAUUGGACAUGAGAUGUCUAGUGGAGGAUCUAAACAACCUCGAGAUGAACCAAAGGAGAAUGUACUUAAUAAUGAGAAUCAAGGUGUAGUACACGUCAAAUACCGUCAAUUUUCUUUGGAUAAGAUUUUGUAACAUUUCUUCUUGAAAAUGAGCCUUAAAAAUUGAAAGAAACGAUGUCGUCUUCAGACCCAUCCUUUUGGAAAGAGGCAAUCAAUGGUGAUAUAGAUUCAAUCUUGAGCAACCAUACUUAGGAAUUGAUUGAUCUUUCUCCGGUAAAUAAACCUUUAGGUUCUAAAUGGAUCUUCAAAAGGAAAAUAAAAGCUAGUGGUACUUUUGACAAUUAUAAGACAAGACUUGUUGUGAAAGAUUUUAGACAAAAAGAAGGCCUUUAUUAUUUCGAUACAUACUCGCCAAUAACAAGGAUAACGUUCAUUCAGAUGUUGGUUGCGUUGACGACAGUAUAUGAUGUUGAAAUUCAUCAAAUGGAUGUGAAUACAACGUUCUUAAAUAGAGAAUUGAAGGGAGAAAUUUACAUAAAACAACCUAAGGGUUUUGUAGUUUCUGGUAAAGAAAAGAAAUUGUGCAAACUUGUUAAAACACUUUAUGGAUUAAAACAAGCACCCAAAUAGUGGUAUAUAAAAUUUGACCAAACCAUGUUGGCAAACGAUUUCAGGAUAAACGAAUGUGAUAAAUGUGUUUACAUUAAAGACACUCCAAAUCACAAAGUCAUUAUUUGUUUGUAUGUGGAUGACAUGUUGACCAUCAGUAGAGACAUUCUAACAUAAAUGCUAUGAAAUAAAUGCCUGAGGGCAAGUUUGAUUUGAAAGACCUUAGAGUUGCUGACGUAAUCUUAGGGAUAAGAAUUUUUAGAACUCCAUAGGUAUUGGCGUUGUCACAGUCGCAUUACAUUGAAAAGGUGUUUGACAAGUUCAAGCAUUUAGAUUUCAAUAUUGUUGAGACUACAUUAGACAUGAGUUUUGCAUUUCAAAAGAAUGAAGGUGAAAGUAACUCACAGUUGGACUAUGCAAGAGUGUUGAAAAGUUUGGUGUAUAUAUCAUAAAUUGUACGUGAGAAGACAUAGAAUGCACUAUUAGUAAAUUAAGUCGGUAAAAGACUACUCCUAAUCAAACUCAUUGGAUGGAUAUGAAAAAAGUUUUAGGGUAUCUAAAACAUACCCAAGACUAUGUUUUUAUUAUAACAAAUAUCCAGCGUAGAUGAGGUGACUUUUCAAAAUAAUGUAAUUUUUCGUGAACCAUUACUUUCUUUCUGAAGCACCACAUUGUGGCUAUAAAUGCCUGAAUUUUUCCUCUGAUAAAGGUAUGAAGAUUUGAAGGGAAAAACAUUUUCUUUUUCUUCUUAAAACUCUGGUAUGAUCUUCAAACUAUUGAGUGAGUUCGUUGUUCAGAAAAUUUGAGGUACCACUAUUUUUUGAAGAGAAUCAUUUUUCGUAGGGAGGAUAUAUUCCUUUAACCUCGAGUACUUGACUAGAAUAAUUUUUUUAAGGAUACAUCGUGAAUUCAGUGGAUUUGACUCAAUCGUUUCUGUCUUCAUCCCAUUUUCUUAAAGUUGGUUUUAUUAUUUUUCCAGAAAAAUAGUUUGAACAUUAUAUUGAUAGUUCUUCAUUUGUUUGAACUUGUGUUUGAAGUUUUUGAAACUUCAUUUUGAUAGGUUAUAAGUUGUUGAACUUGUGUUGAAGUUAUUGUGGAUUAAAUACAGAUUUUGUACAAAAAAUAAUACGAAAUAGCUGUGAAACCUUGGGGAGCGACCAACUAAAAGAAUUUGCACCGAAGUCGAUCCGAAAUCACUUUCAAAGUAAUGGCUUACCACGACACAAUAUUUUCAGUUCCAUAUUAAUAUUAGAGUAAUUUUUCCAACAAGUGGCAAAGUUUGUUAUUUAACUACAAAAUUUGUUCGUCAACAAAUCCUUGUUUUUCUUUUGUUGGGUAGUAUAUUUUGGUUUUAUCUAAUCAAUCUAUUGACAAGCUAAGCGCCUACGAAAACGAUGUAGAUGUUCUACCUACGGGGGCGGGGGGGUGUCUAUUACAAUUACAAAAAUAAACUGAAUGUUGAGUUUCAGUUCCACUAACACCUUGCAAAAGUGAAUUACCCAUGAAAGAUGGGGGUAUUAUAUCAAAAAAAAAAAACAUAUCUUUUGUUGUUUUCUAAUUUCUAACGAUAUAUUUUUGAUCCAUUGCUUUCCCAUAGUAUGCUAACUUGACAGCCACUUUUUUUUGCUUUUCUAUAUACGUGGAACACUUUUUUUUUCGUCAAAAUGCGAAUCAUAAUUUAAUCCGUCAAUUUUUACUAAAUUGUAAUUGUCUUUUUUUUUUUAUAAACAGAGAUAGCAGGUAACCCAAGAAAAAAAAAUGUCUAGCAGAACAUAUUACGCAUCCUCGAAACUACUAUGACCUAUAAAACUAGAUGAUAAAAAAAUUGGUUUUAUCAUACUGGCACACUUGUAGAUGUUCCAUAAUUCAUGUAAAUUUACUUCAGAUGAAUUGUAGUUUUUGUGUUCAAAUUCAUAUAAAAACGAAAUGAUUUAAGUUUCGUUCUUUGAAUAUCGCCAUACAGAAAUAAAAUAGAACAAGGGGAGUACUUUUCUAGGUCUCUAUUUGAUAUUUUAUCAGUAACAAUUUGAAAAUAGUCAUAACUCAUACACGUAGUAGUAGGUGGAAAUGUUUCUGAUUGAAUUCGGCAUAAAAAUAUUUUUAUGGAAAAAAAGUUUCUUCUAGUUUUGGUUUAUAAGUGGAUCAAUUUUUGUGGAAAAAAAGUUUCUGCUAGUUUUGGUUUCUAAGUGGAUCAUUCCCUAGCGCUCUACUAAAUGAUUUAAUUUUAUAUAAAGAAGAUGAAAUUAUAAGAAAAAAGAGAAAAAAGAAAAAGACUAGAGAUCUAAAGAAGGGAAAACUUAAAGUAUGUGGUAAUAACUUCUUUUAUUCAUCACAUAAUCUCUGCAUUUUGCAAGGAGAUUGAAACUGAGCAAACAUACACAAAGACAUAAAAGUAAAAAUACAAAUAUAAAUAGAGUACAAACAAUAUCACUAAUAACUUAGAGAACAUGAAGCUACAAAAGAACUUCGCCUCCCGUGGGGCUUAUUGUUUACUCUUUUUUCUUCUUUUUGGCAUUGCCUCUCGAAAUGGAAAAUGCCUUUCCUUGAGCUCAACAUUCUGCUUUUCCUGCAUAAGAAUAUAAUAUUGUCAAUGAGAACAUAUAGUAACUGAUUAAUAAACCUAAUAAGUAGGAGAUAGCAUAGGCUUAUAUAUUAAUGCGUUUGCAUGAAGAAAUUGUGCAACUUGUAUUGAUUUGCAUUUAGACAAAUCAUUUUUAAGAAUUUUAGUUUGGCUUAAUUACCUUAGAUUUGAUGUUGUUGUUUCUUAGUGAUGGUAGGGAGGAGGUGGAGACUUGUAAACCGGAGUUGGUGGUGGUGGAGACUUGUAUACUGGUGCAGGAUGGUGUGGUGUUGGUGAAGGAUGGUAUGGAUUCACUGGUGGUGGUGACUUGUAAACGGGUGUUGGUGGUGGUGGAGAUUUGUAUACUGGUGCAGGGUGGUAUGACUUCACUGGUGGUGGUGGUGACUGGUAAACGGGUGUUGGUGGUGGUGGAGACUUAUAAACUGGUGCAGGAUGAUAUGGCUUCACUGGUGAUGGUGGUGACUUGUAAACGGGUGUUGGUGGUGGUGGAGACUUAUAAAUUGGUGUGGGAUGAUAUGGUGUUGGUGGAGGAUAGUAUGGCCUCUUAGGUGGUGGUGGUGACUUGUAAACUGGAGUUGGUGGUGGUGGCGACUUGUACACUGGAGUGUGUGGCGGGUAGUAUGGCUUUUUGGGUGGUGGUGGGGACUUGUAAACUGGAGUUGGGGGUGGUGGAGACUUGUAAACUGGGGUGUGUGGAGGGUAGUGUGGUGGUGACUUGUAAACUGGAGUCGGGGGUGGUGGAGACUUGUAAACUGGGGUGUGUGGAGGAUAAUGUGGCUUCUUUGGUGGUGGUGGGGACUUGUAAACUGGAGUGUGUGGAGGAUAGUGUGGCUUCUUCGGUGGUGGUGGUGACUUGUAAACAGGAGUUGGUGGUGGUGGCGACUUGUGAACUGGUGCGGGAUGAUAAGGUGUUGGUGAAGGGUGGUAUGGCUUCUUAGGUGGUGGUGGAGAUUUGUAAACAGGAUGAUGAUGGUGUGGUGGAGGGGACUUAUAUACUGGGUGGUGAUGGUUUGGUGGAGGAGACUUAUAUACUGGGUGGUGGGGUGGAGAUGGAUAGACAUGCACUGGUGGAGGAGGAGAUGAAUAAUGAUAAUUUGCAGAGCUUUCAGAAGCUAAGCUAAGUGACACUAAAACCACCAAAAGAGUGGCAACUAGAGAGGCCAUUUUCCCCAUAUU